AUGCAUGAAGAACUAAACAACUUCGAGUACAACAAGGUGUGGAGAUUGGUGCCAAGGCCAACGGGGAACCACAAUGUCAUUGGAACCAAAUGGAUAUUCAAGAACAAGCAAGAUGCUCAUGGGACAAUAGUUCGCAACAAGGAAAGAUUGGUAGCACAAGGCUACUCCCAAGUCGAGGGUAUCGACUACGGUGAAAACUUUGCUCCCAUUGCUCGCCUUAAAUCCAUUCGUUUGUUGAUUGCUUAUGCUUCUCAUCAUAACUUUAAGUUGCAACAAAUGGAUGUGAAGAGUGCUUUUCUUAAUGGUCCUAUUAAUGAGUUGGUAUAUGUCAAACAACCCCCCGGGUUCGAGGACCCCCACUUCCCCGAUCAUGUGUAUCAACUCGAUAAGGCACUCUAUGGCCUUAAACAAGCCCCACGUGCGUGGUAUGACCAACUUACCGAGUUAUUGCAAGAUUGUGGAUUUGAAGUUGGGAAAAUCGACCCCACUCUUUUUACUAAGAAGGUCAAAGGGACGUUGUUUGUGUGCCAACUAUAUGUUGAUGAUAUUAUAUUUGGUUCUCCUAACAAAGCUUUCAAUGAGGAAUUUGCCGCUCUCAUGACCUCAAAGUUCAAGAUGUCUUCGAUGGGAGAGUUGAAGUUCUUUCUCGGGUUCGAAAUCAAACAACGAAGGGAAGGAACCUUCAUCAACCAAGCCAAAUACACUCAAGACAUGCUAAAGAGAUUCAAGCUAAGUGAUGUCAAGCCGGCUUCCACUCCAAUGCCCACCAAGUGCUAA
rnacentral:rRNA from 1 species